AUUGAACGCUGGCGGCAGGCCUAACACAUGCAAGUCGAACGAGUGGCGGACGGGUGAGUAAUGUCUGGGAAACUGCCUGAUGGAGGGGGAUAACUACUGGAAACGGUAGCUAAUACCGCAUACCAUCGGAUGUGCCCAGAUGGGAUUAGCUAGUAGGUGGGGUAAAGGAUCACCUAGGCGACGAUCACUAGCUGGUCUGAGAGGAGUACCAGACAAACGGGAAAGGAGACACGUUCCAGACUGUGACGGGAGGCAGAAGUGGGGAAUAUUGCACAAUGGGCGCAAGCCUGAUGCAGCCAUGCCGCGUGUAUGAAGAAGGCCUUCGUGGUGUAAAGUACGUUCAGCGGGGAGGCGUUACAAGCAGAAGAAGCACCGGCUAACUCCGUGCCAGCAGCCGCGUUAAUAC
rnacentral:rRNA from 1 species